rnacentral:rRNA from 1 species
UAGCAUAUCAAUAAGCGGAGGAAAAGAAACUAACAAGGAUUCCCUUAGUAACUGCGAGUGAAGUGGGAUGAGCUCAAAUUUAAAAUCUGGUGGUCUCUGGCUGCCCGAGUUGUAAUCUAGAGAAGUGUUUUCUGUGCUGGACUGUGUUUAAGUUUCCUGGAUAUGGAACAUCAUAGAGGGUGAGAAUCCCGUCCUUAAUACAGACUACCAGUGCUAUGUGAUACACUCUCAACGAGUCGAGUUGUUUGGGAUUGCAGCUCAAAAUGGGAGGUAAAUUCCUUCUAAAGCUAAAUAUUGGCGAGAGACCGAUAGCGAACAAGUACCGUGAGGGAAAGAUGAAAAGCACUUUGGAAAGAGAGUUAAACAGUACGUGAAAUUGUUAAAAGGGAAACAAUUGAAGUCAGUUGCAUUUACUUGGACUCAGCCUUACUUUUGGUUUGGUGCAUUUCCUUGUGGAUGGGCCAGUGUGCAUGUUGAUUACUGGAAAAGGGGCUAGGGAAUGUGGCUCUUUUGGGAGUGUUAUAGCCUUGGCUCAUAUACAGUAAUUAAUAUGGAGUGCUACAGCAUGCUUCGGUGGUGCUUGUGCUGGCAUAAUGGCUUUAAAUGACCCGUCUUGAAACACGGACCAAGGAGUCUAACAUGUCUGCAAGUAUUUGGGUGAUAAACUCAAAUGCGUAAUGAAAGUGAUAGCUGGGAACCUUGAAAGGGGGGCACCAGUACCCCGAGCGGAUCUUCUGUGAUGCAUCGGAGGUAGAGCAUAUAUGUUGGGACCCGAAAGAUGGUGAACUAUGCCUGAAUAGGGUGAAGCCAGAGGAAACUCUGGUGGAGGCUCGUAGCGAUUCUGACGUGCAAAUCGAUCGUCAAAUUUGGGUAUAGGGGCGAAAGACUAAUCGAACCAUCUAGUAGCUGGUUCCUGCC